rnacentral:lncRNA from 1 species
AGGACUGUCACAAAAGUAGACAAUGAUCUAUGGAGGACUGUUACAAAAAUAGACAUUGAUCUAAUCCGAUAACUAUGAAUGUGAUCACAAAAGAAGUUGGGAUCAUCUAUAUUAUCCAAAAACCCACAAAUGAUCAUCUCCUAACCCAACUUUUGGUGCCAUCAAUCAAAACCUGGUCAUCUCCUCAUCAAUUAGCUUGAUAUUAUGACAUGAAGACAUGGGAAGAG